GUCAAGACAGUUUAGUGGUCUGAGCACUGGACUAGGACCCUGGAGUCCAGGGUUCAAUUCCCUGCUCAGCCA